UCAUAGGCCUUUCUCAAGGCCUCAAAUUCAUUCCUAAACCAUCUG
rfam:Tupaia chinensis contig83570, whole genome shotgun sequence.